rnacentral:lncRNA from 1 species
UGUGGCUGAAUAAUAUUCCAUUGUAUACCAUGGAAUACCAUUGUAUUUCCUGUAUACCAUCUUUUGUGUGUUCAUUCAUUAUUGAUGGACAUUUGAAUUGUUUCUUUUUGCUUAAUGAAUAAUGCUACUAUGAAUACCUAUGUACAAGUUUUUGUUUGAAUAUCUGUUUCCAUUCUUUCAGGUACAUACCUAGGAGAGGAAUGGCUGGAGCAUACAGUAAUUCCAAAUUUAUUUAUUCUUUUAUUCUUCUUUUUUCCUGGUGCCGGGAUUGAACCCAGGGCUUGAGGCACACUAGGCAAGCAUUCUACCACAGAAUUAUAUACCACAACCCAUAAUUCUGUGUUAAUUCUGUAGGAGGAUUCCAAUUUCUCCACAUCAUUAGUACUUGUUAUUUUCUUAAAAAAAUUAUAGCCAUUUUAGUGGGUAUGAAGUGGUAUCUUAUUGUGGUUUUGAUUUGCAUUUUCCUAAUGACAACAUUAUAGAGCAUCUUUUAUGUGCUUGUUGCAUUUUAUAUUCUUUAAAGAAUGUCUAUUCUGUUAUCUCUGCACAUUUAAAAAUUGGGUUGUUCGUCUUUAUUUGUUGUUGAGUUCUAUCAGCUUUUAAUAUAUUCUGGAUAUAAGUCCCUUAUCAGAUAUAUGAUGUACAAAUAUUUUUUCCUAUUCUCUCUGUUGUCGUAUCAUUUUCCUUCCUUCCUUCCUUCCUUUCUUUCUUUUAUUUUUGGUACCAGAGAUUGAACCCAGGCGUGCUUAACCACUGAGCCACAUGCUCAGCCCUUUUUAUUUUGUGUUUUGAGACAGGGUCUCGCCAAGUUGUUUAGGGCCUCACUAAGUUGCUGAGGCUGUCUUUGAACUCACAAUCCUCCUGCCUCAGCCUCCCCAGUUGCUGGGAUUACAGGUGUGCACCAUCAUGCUUUCCUUUCUUUCUUUAGAUGUCUCUAGAUAUACAAAAGUUUUCAGUUUUGAUGAGGUCCAGUUUAUCAACUAUUUUUAUUCUGUUAUUUGUGCUUUUGGUUAUCAUAUUUAAAACAAACAAACAAAAUAUUGCCAAAUCUGAGGCCAUGGAGAUUUAUCUCUGUGUGUUCAUCUAGGAGUUUUGUGGGGGCAGUCCCCAUCAUGUCCUCUCUUACCCUGCAAGAGCUCUGCCUCUUUCUUCUUACUUGAAU